GGUUCGAAUCCUGCACGACCCACCAAUGUAGAGCAGUUGACUUUUAAUCAAUUGGUCGCAGGUUCGAAUCCUGCACGACCCACCA
rnacentral:tRNA from 1 species